CUGAAGUCCCGUGUUGAUGAAACGUUCCAAAUCAUCUCAAUGUAGCCUCACAUCAAGACAACCUUUCGUCUUGGACAAGCACAGCUGGCGUUGAAAUGGUAUCAUCAAAGUUCGUCAAAAUGUGUUUACAUCAUCCUCCUGUUGGUACUGCUGCUCAUUCUGCUUACCAGUUCCGGAGGUCUACGUCACCGGCUUUCUAGGCUUCACUGAACGAGAUUCAUCAUUAUCAACCCCGGACUGUCUUGUCUGAUUACACACACCUGGUUCCCAUUUCCCCUGAUUAGUAUGCUAUAUAUGUGCCCUCUGUUCCCUCUGUCAGUUACUGUUCCCAUGUUUGUUGGUGGUGUGAGUACCUCUGUGUUGGUGCAGCUGUUAUGCUGUAUACUAUGUAUAUAUAUAUUGUGUAUUACGGUUAUCGUGGCGUUCAACAAGGUUUGGGUACAGCCCAGUGUUUUUGUAUACGUGCUUGUUUUGGGUGUAUUAAAAACCCCUAUUGUGUAUUCCUGAA